rnacentral:rRNA from 1 species
UACGUAGGGCGCGAGCGUUGUCCGGAAUUAUUGGGCGUAAAGAGCUCGUAGGCGGCCUGUUGCGUCCGCUGUGAAAUCCCGAGGCUCAACCUCGGGCCUGCAGUGGGUACGGGCAGACUGGAGUGCGGUAGGGGAGAAUGGAAUUCCUGGUGUAGCGGUGGAAUGCGCAGAUAUCAGGAGGAACACCGGUGGCGAAGGCGGGUCUCUGGGCCGUAGCUGACGCUGAGGAGCGAAAGCGUGGGGAGCGAACAGG